rnacentral:rRNA from 1 species
GGUUAAGCGACUAAGCGUACACGGUGGAUGCCCUGGCAGUCAGAGGCGAUGAAGGACGUGCUAAUCUGCGAUAAGCGCCGGUAAGGUGAUAUGAACCGUUAUAACCGGCGAUACCCGAAUGGGGAAACCCAGUGUGAUUCGUCACACUAUCAUUAACUGAAUCCAUAGGUUAAUGAGGCGAACCGGGGGAACUGAAACAUCUAAGUACCCCGAGGAAAAGAAAUCAACCGAGAUUCCCCCAGUAGCGGCGAGCGAACGGGGAGGAGCCCAGAGCCUGAAUCAGCAUGUGUGUUAGUGGAAGCGUCUGGAAAGGCGCGCGAUACAGGGUGACAGCCCCGUACACAAAAGCGCAUGUGCUGUGAGCUCGAUGAGUAGGGCGGGACACGUGGUAUCCUGUCUGAAUAUGGGGGGACCAUCCUCCAAGGCUAAAUACUCCUGACUGACCGAUAGUGAACCAGUACCGUGAGGGAAAGGCGAAAAGAACCCCGGCGAGGGGAGUGAAAAAGAACCUGAAACCGUGUACGUACAAGCAGUGGGAGCACAGGUUUACCUGUGUGACUGCGUACCUUUUGUAUAAUGGGUCAGCGACUUAUAUUCUGUAGCAAGGUUAACCGAAUAGGGGAGCCGCAGGGAAACCGAGUCUUAAUUGGGCGUUAAGUUGCAGGGUAUAGACCCGAAACCCGGUGAUCUAGCCAUGGGCAGGUUGAAGGUUGGGUAACACUAACUGGAGGACCGAACCGACUAAUGUUGAAAAAUUAGCGGAUGACCUGUGGCUGGGGGUGAAAGGCCAAUCAAACCGGGAGAUAGCUGGUUCUCCCCGAAAGCUAUUUAGGUAGCGCCUCGUGAAUUCAUCUCCGGGGGUAGAGCACUGUUUCGGCUAGGGGGCCAUCCCGGCUUACCAACCCGAUGCAAACUGCGAAUACCGGAGAAUGUUAUCACGGGAGACACACGGCGGGUGCUAACGUCCGUCGUGAAGAGGGAAACAACCCAGACCGCCAGCUAAGGUCCCAAAGUCAUGGUUAAGUGGGAAACGAUGUGGGAAGGCCCAGACAGCCAGGAUGUUGGCUUAGAAGCAGCCAUCAUUUAAAGAAAGCGUAAUAGCUCACUGGUCGAGUCGGCCUGCGCGGAAGAUGUAACGGGGCUAAACCAUGCACCGAAGCUGCGGCAGCGAACGUAUCACUUAAAGCGAUUCAGCGGGUUACGAUUGACGGAGCGAAGCGACGUCAAAGCGUAUACAAAGUCGAGUCGGUUUAAGGAUACGUUCGUUGGGUAGGGGAGCGUUCUGUAAGCCUGCGAAGGUGGCCUGUGAGGGUUGCUGGAGGUAUCAGAAGUGCGAAUGCUGACAUAAGUAACGAUAAAGCGGGUGAAAAGCCCGCUCGCCGGAAGACCAAGGGUUCCUGUCCAACGUUAAUCGGGGCAGGGUGAGUCGACCCCUAAGGCGAGGCCGAAAGGCGUAGUCGAUGGGAAACGGGUUAAUAUUCCCGUACUUGGUGUUACUGCGAAGGGGGGACGGAGAAGGCUAUGUUGGCCGGGCGACGGUUGUCCCGGUUUAAGCGUGUAGGCUGGUUUUCCAGGCAAAUCCGGAAAAUCAAGGCUGAGGCGUGACGACGAGGCACUACGGUGCUGAAGCAACAAAUGCCCUGCUUCCAGGAAAAGCCUCUAAGCAUCAGGUAACAUCAAAUCGUACCCCAAACCGACACAGGUGGUCAGGUAGAGAAUACCAAGGCGCUUGAGAGAACUCGGGUGAAGGAACUAGGCAAAAUGGUGCCGUAACUUCGGGAGAAGGCACGCUGACACGUAGGUGAAGUGAUUUACUCAUGGAGCUGAAGUCAGUCGAAGAUACCAGCUGGCUGCAACUGUUUAUUAAAAACACAGCACUGUGCAAACACGAAAGUGGACGUAUACGGUGUGACGCCUGCCCGGUGCCGGAAGGUUAAUUGAUGGGGUCAGCGCAAGCGAAGCUCCUGAUCGAAGCCCCGGUAAACGGCGGCCGUAACUAUAACGGUCCUAAGGUAGCGAAAUUCCUUGUCGGGUAAGUUCCGACCUGCACGAAUGGCGUAAUGAUGGCCAGGCUGUCUCCACCCGAGACUCAGUGAAAUUGAACUCGCUGUGAAGAUGCAGUGUACCCGCGGCAAGACGGAAAGACCCCGUGAACCUUUACUAUAGCUUGACACUGAACAUUGAGCCUUGAUGUGUAGGAUAGGUGGGAGGCUUUGAAGUGUGGACGCCAGUCUGCAUGGAGCCGACCUUGAAAUACCACCCUUUAAUGUUUGAUGUUCUAACGUGGACCCGUAAUCCGGGUUGCGGACAGUGUCUGGUGGGUAGUUUGACUGGGGCGGUCUCCUCCUAAAGAGUAACGGAGGAGCACGAAGGUUGGCUAAUCCUGGUCGGACAUCAGGAGGUUAGUGCAAUGGCAUAAGCCAGCUUGACUGCGAGCGUGACGGCGCGAGCAGGUGCGAAAGCAGGUCAUAGUGAUCCGGUGGUUCUGAAUGGAAGGGCCAUCGCUCAACGGAUAAAAGGUACUCCGGGGAUAACAGGCUGAUACCGCCCAAGAGUUCAUAUCGACGGCGGUGUUUGGCACCUCGAUGUCGGCUCAUCACAUCCUGGGGCUGAAGUAGGUCCCAAGGGUAUGGCUGUUCGCCAUUUAAAGUGGUACGCGAGCUGGGUUUAGAACGUCGUGAGACAGUUCGGUCCCUAUCUGCCGUGGGCGCUGGAGAACUGAGGGGGGCUGCUCCUAGUACGAGAGGACCGGAGUGGACGCAUCACUGGUGUUCGGGUUGUCAUGCCAAUGGCACUGCCCGGUAGCUAAAUGCGGAAGAGAUAAGUGCUGAAAGCAUCUAAGCACGAAACUUGCCCCGAGAUGAGUUCUCCCUGAGACUUAGAGUCUCCUGAAGGAACGUUGAAGACGACGACGUUGAUAGGCCGGGUGUGUAAGCGCAGCGAUGCGUUGAGCUAACCGGUACUAAUGAACCGUGAGGCUUAACCUU